UGGGUUUGCUUCGAGUAUGAUGUCUUGUCAUCUAGCAAGAUUGUCUUCUGAUGGCUCCUGCAUUUCCAAUUGGUUCAUGUACAUUCUAAAAAUGUGCAGUCCAUAGCAUAAUUACAUGUUAUGCCAUUAGUAGAAAUCACCGAGUAGGAGAAAUGUGACAUUGAUUUUUUUUUUUUAAUAGAUUAGUUCGUAAUCAAAUAUGCACAAACAAUGGAUGUCAAUGGAUAGGAUGUCAAUGAGUACAAUGCAGGGAUGAACAAUUUCUUAAUGUUAGCAACACACAAUGCUAAUGAUCCCAAUUUGACACAAUGUCCGUGUCUAAAAUGUGAUAACUGAGGAAAAUGUUCAGAUUGUGAAGGAGCAUUUAUUAAAGGAAUAGAUCUAAAAUACCUUACGUGGAUAUGAGAUGGAGAAGGAUGGUUGGUAGAUAACUCAAUGGGUGUCAGGUCUUUGGUAGGUCAAGGUAUUGGGUAUUAGUGGUCAACGAUAAGAAAUUAUUUCAAAUGCUUUUGCUCAAGAAACAGUACAUUUGUUAUAGUCUACAUGUGAAAGUUUCUUUUUGUAAUCCAAAUGAAUUCGAUAAA
rnacentral:lncRNA from 1 species